rnacentral:rRNA from 1 species
GACGAACGCUGGCGGCGUGCCUAAUACAUGCAAGUAGAACGCGGGAGUGAGGAGGUUGCUCUACUAGGAGGAGUCGCGAACGUAUGAGUAAUGCGUAGGGAACCUGCCAGGUAGCGGGGGAGAACUAUUGGAAACGAAAGCUAAUACGGCAUAAAAUGCAGUAUCGCAUUAUAAUUCAAGCAAAGGUGCUGAUGGAUCACUAUCAGAUGGAUUAGCGUUGUAUUGGGGAGAGGGAGGGGUAACGGCUCACCAAGGCGACGGUACAAAACCGAAGUGGGAGGGUGAUCGACCACACUGAGACUGAGACAGGGCCCCGAAUCCUACGGGAGGCAGCAGUAGCGAUGCUUCAGAAAUGGACGGAAGUCUGACCGAGCUACGGCGCGUGCGUGUGGAAGAUUUUCGGAUCGUAAAGCUCAGUUGUCAGUGGAGAGCGAGUGUUAGAGAGGAAAGUUCACACUGUGACGGUAUCUUACCAGAAAGCAACGGCUAACUCCGUG